GUUCGUUGAGAUAGCGCCUCGUGUGCACCACCAGCAGGUCCUCCUCCGAGGCCUCCCGAGCCUCCACCAGCAUGCCAUCGGACAGCAGCUUCUCUUCUGGAACCACAGAGCAAGACCCUGCUUCCUUUCCAGCUCUCAAAGUAGGCCCAGCCCCUAGGCCUGCCCUUGGGCUGCAGGCUAGCCUCUGGCAGCCCCUCAGCACACAGUGAACUUGUGGGUAUUCUGAGAAUGGCUGUCUCCCUAGGCCAGUGUGGCCAGCCGUUAGGCCCUCUGUCCAAGGGUUUGAACCUGAAACACACAGCAGUCUCCAUAUUUUCUGUGCUGCUGACAGCCACCAGAUGAACUCAGGUGGCUCAGGAUGGUGUGGCCUUUCUCUGCCUGAACCAAAGGAGAGCAGUGGCUCACAGGCAGCAGAAGCCAGAACUGAACAACUGCUGUUUUCAGAGCCUUG
rnacentral:lncRNA from 1 species